rnacentral:siRNA from 1 species
AACUGUUACGGUGUCUGCCACCGA